AUUAAACGCUGGCGGCAUGCCUUACACAUGCAAGUCGAACGGCAGCGGGGGAGAAGCUUGCUUUUCCUGCCGGCGAGUGGCGAACGGGUGAGUAAUACAUCGGAAUGUGCCCUGUAGUGGGGGAUAACUAGUCGAAAGAUUAGCUAAUACCGCAUACGACCUGAGGGUGAAAGUGGGGGACCGCAAGGCCUCAUGCUAUAGGAGCGGCCGAUGUCUGAUUAGCUAGUUGGUGGGGUAAAGGCCUACCAAGGCGACGAUCAGUAGCUGGUCUGAGAGGACGAUCAGCCACACUGGGACUGAGACACGGCCCAGACUCCUACGGGAGGCAGCAGUGGGGAAUUUUGGACAAUGGGCGAAAGCCUGAUCCAGCAAUGCCGCGUGUGUGAAGAAGGCCUUCGGGUUGUAAAGCACUUUUGUCCGGAAAGAAAUGGCUCUGGUUAAUACCUGGGGUCGAUGACGGUACCGGAAGAAUAAGGACCGGCUAACUACGUGCCAGCAGCCGCCGUAA
rnacentral:rRNA from 1 species